AUUGAACGCUGGCGGCAGGCCUUACACAUGCAAGUCGAACGGUAACAGGUCUUCGGAUGCUGACGAGUGGCGAACGGGUGAGUAAUGCAUCGGAACGUGCCCAGUAGUGGGGGAUAGCCCGGCGAAAGCCGGAUUAAUACCGCAUACGACCUGAGGGUGAAAGGGGGGGAUCGCAAGACCUCUCGCUAUUGGAGCGGCCGAUGUCAGAUUAGCUAGUUGGUGGGGUAAAGGCCUACCAAGGCAACGAUCUGUAGUUGGUCUGAGAGGACGACCAGCCACACUGGGACUGAGACACGGCCCAGACUCCUACGGGAGGCAGCAGUGGGGAAUUUUGGACAAUGGGCGCAAGCCUGAUCCAGCAAUGCCGCGUGCAGGAAGAAGGCCUACGGGUUGUAAACUGCUUUUGUCAGGGAAGAAAUCUUCUGGGUUAAUACCUCGGGAGGAUGACGGUACCUGAAGAAUAAGCACCGGCUAACUACGUGCCAGCCGCCGCGGUAACAC
rnacentral:rRNA from 1 species